rnacentral:lncRNA from 1 species
CUCAUUAUCUCAUUCUCUCUCUCCCACUUUCUCACUCUCAUUCUCUCACACUCUCGACCUACAUUUUUCCGAUGAUAAAAAGCAAUUUUUCAACAAGCUUAAAACAGUAAUUCGGUGAGCUUGAUUUUAAAAAUAGCCAAAGGUACGGCAACAUAAUCACCACAAGGUUCAAGCCAAGCACCUCAAUGCUACCACCAUGACCGAACAAUAUUAUGGAACUCGGUAAAUUUUAAGAUUAUUUUUUUUGUUCUUUUAAAUAUAUUUUUGUGUUUUUUUUAUAACUAUGAGUUAAAUGAGAAUUUGUCAAUACUAACGUACAUGAGAAUCAGUUUUUAGUUUUAGCUAAAAUUACAAUGGACAUUUUAGUAUUUCCUACUUCUACAAUUGCAUCCGAGUCCUUUUUUAGGGUCGUAAUAAAAGAUCAAGUCUUGCCCCAGACAUCGUAAAUAUAUUAGUUUGAAAUAAGAUUGGGAUCAAGUUACAAAAAGACAACAAAAAAGAAAAGAAGAUGACUCGGAAGAAAAGGAAGAUGUUUGGAUGAUAAUGGAUAUUUCAUCGGAAUUGGGCUGCCUGAACAAGAAUAUUUUUGUUUUGUAUUUGUAUAACUCGAAUAGUGGAUAGAUAGAAUAUUUUUGUUUUGUAUUUUUAAAUUUUGUUUGAUUGAUAUUUUGUUUUAAAGUAUAUGCGUUUUCUUCCAUCUUUCAGAGAGGAGUUCUCUCAAAUUAUUUGUAAUUUUUCCAAAAUUAAUAGAGGUAUCGUCCUCUUUUAUUUAUUACAUAAAAAAUUAAUAAAAACUAAUUAAUAUCCGUUUUAUUUAUUACAUAAUAAAUUUAUAAAACUAAUUAAUAUAUAGUUAUAUUCACAGUAUUUAAAGAAAAAUUGUAAAUCGCUCAACUCGCCCAACUCGUCUAGUUAUACGCGAGUAGAGCUAAUCCGGACUCGUCUCGCUUCAGCUCUUCUCGCCAAAAACUCGUCUCGGCUCGUCAAAUGCAUCAUGUCUGGCUACGUCUACUUUGAUGUUUGUUUAUAUCUGGUCUCGAAACGAUCCGAGGCUGAACUUUUAAAACUCAGUUGGAUAUCAAACAAGAAUUUCUACUAAUCUGAAAGACGACAUGAAACUCGAAAUCAAAGUGUUACUAAUUUUUCUCUCCUUGAUUUAGCCUCUUGUUGGACAUUUAUAAUCAAUUUGUGAGUUCUUGUUCGGCCUUAAUAUUGAUCUUCUCCUUGUAUUUUUGAAUAGUAUGUCUUUGUAUGUCAAAUCUGAAGACAAAGGGGAUAUUUUCAAUCAAAACUUGACGGUAAAAACUAGCAGCUUUUUCGUGCUAAGUUUUCAUAGGACUAGACACAAAUUGACAUGGCUAUUAUGUCAAACUGGAUUAUAGGUUGAUAAAUGAGCAAAAAAGAAUAUAUUGAAUGGCCUUACUAGCUAACUGAAAAAACCAGAUUGCAAUAAGUUGCGGUACAAGCUACAAACCAAACUACUAGCAAUACUUAAGAAUCUUUUUCUCAAUACAUCAAAUAUAGAGACUUGGAUUCUGAUUUAUGCAUCUGAAACAACAAACUGAAGCAUGCAUAUCGAUGAUCUCCGUCUUCCUUUCCGUUCCCUGAAUCUAAAAUAGGCAGCAACAUCGCUGCAAAAGGAUAAACACAGAUCAAACAUAUGAAUUAGAGGUUCAUUUAAAAGUUUAUUGUACAACUUAAGCACUUGUUAACACAUACUCAUAGUACUAUAGUAGUAUACUCCCUCUGUCCCAACUAUUUUUUUUACAGUUUCCUUUUUGGGAUGUGCCCAAACCAAAUGUAAAGAAUUGACUAGGACGGAGGGAGUACAAAUUAAUGAUAUAUAUAUUACAUGUUUCGAGCUGGACUGCAAAAUAUGAAUCGAAUUGGAAUAAUACCUUUGAUCUGGUAUCUUUGGUCUGAGUGUUUGGCAUAUUGGCAGGUUGAUUAGGAACUAUAGGAAAUUUGGAGGCUGCUAUUUGUUUCUCUUCUUUGACUUUAUUGAAAAUUACAGUGAAUCCGUCUCCUGAUGUAGGGUCUCGUUCAUCCCAUUGCCCGAACAUGGGUACUGAUGCUGAUCUAGUGGACUGGAUUCCGGAAAAAAGUUUAAAGAUUAAAAGGAAUGAAAAUAGAUAAUCAACAAGAAGAAGUCUGGCUCUGUUGUUAAAAUUUGAACAAGUUAAAAAGAGAAGGGAAUUUUUGCUUACAAAAUCAUCGUACAGAUUAUGUCCGUUUCUCAGUCUGUUAGGCCCUGGCGAAGGAGGAUAGAAACUAAUAUUGUCAAUGCUGUUUUUCUUCCUUUCAG